AUGGACUCUGAGGGCACAAGAACCCAACCAAUGUUACAUACCCUAUUCGGAGACCGUUCCCAGUUCUGGAAACAGAACUCAAGAAAAAUAUAUGCUGUGCCUGAAAGUGACUUUGUGGAGUUUCAGAAUGGGAGAAGAGCUAAAACAAGUCGAAGGGAUGGAGAUUCAAGCCUGCAGGAGGUCCUUGGACGUGUUGACCAGCUGAAGCAAGCCGCCGGGAGUCUCCAAGAGGUCACUAAUUCAAUCAACCAGCUGUCUCAGCUGGCCAAGUCUCAAAAGGAGGAGAUCAUGGCAAAUGUCGGUUUGCAGCCCUUAAAGGAAGCCUUUGCAUGUCUUGUGUGUAAAGCUGUAAUGGCAGAUCCCAUGUUCGCCACAUGCUGUAAAUCGAUAAUUGGAUGUCGUACCUGUGUGGAGCUGUGGUUAGUCACAUCAGACCACUGCUUGAAAUGCAGGGCAGGAGACUUUGAAAAUAAAAUACAUGAAGUGAAGGGUCUCUCUGCUGCCUUGUCACUUUUCAAGGAGAGAAUAAUUGGAUAGAUAAUUGUUUGUUAUUGUUUGUUAUGUUUACAUUACUGGAACUACCUCAGUUUGUUUGUUGGAUGUUAUUAUGGGUACAUGACCAGAAAGAUGUUGUUUGUUGUAAUGUUUAUAUUGUGUGUGACCGUUUAAAAAAAAAAAGACAACUUCCACUUUAUCAUUGUUG
ensembl:lncRNA